UGCCAGCCGCCGCGGUAAUACGGAGGGGUUUCUCGUUGUUCGGAAUUACUGGGCGUAAAGCGCACGUAGGCGGAUUAAUAAGUUAGAGGUGAAAUCCCAGGGCUCAACCCUGGAACUGCCUUUAAAACUGUUAGUCUUGAGAUCGAGAGAGGUGAGUGGAAUUCCAAGUGUAGAGGUGAAAUUCGUAGAUAUUUGGAGGAACACCAGUGGCGAAGGCGGCUCACUGGCUCGAUACUGACGCGGAGGUGAGAACGUGUGGGGAGCACACAGGAUUAGAUA
rnacentral:rRNA from 1 species